CCUACGGGGUGCAGCAGUAGGGAAUCUUCGGCAAUGGACGAAAGUCUGACCGAGCAACGCCGCGUGAGUGAAGAAGGUUUUCGGAUCGUAAAACUCUGUUGUUAGAGAAGAACAAGGAUGAGAAGAGAAUGUUCAUCCCUUGACGGUAUCUAACCAGAAAGCCACGGCUAACUACGUGCCAGCAGCCGCGGUAAUACGUAGGUGGCAAGCGUUGUCCGGAUUUAUUGGGCGUAAAGCGAGCGCAGGCGGUUCUUUAAGUCUGAUGUGAAAGCCCCCGGCUUAACCGGGGAGGGUCAUUGGAAACUGGGGAACUUGAGUGCAGAAGAGGAGAGUGGAAUUCCAUGUGUAGCGGUGAAAUGCGUAGAUAUAUGGAGGAACACCAGUGGCAAAGGCGGCUCUCUGGUCUGUAACUGACGCUGAGGCUCGAAAGCGUGGGGAGCAAACAGGAUUAGAUACCCUCGUAGUC
rnacentral:rRNA from 1 species